AAAAGAAACAGGGGCUAAAUUUCACCCUGACAUUUAUUAAGCAUCAGUCUUCAAGCACUUUAUUUUUACACAGAAUUCUGCUACACAAUCAGUCCUUUGUCUUUAAUUAUGAACGGAUUCUCUGGGCUGAAAAGCAGAUUCCCAGAUAACCCAAAUUCGGACUGAAUUAUAGUCCUUUCAUUGACAUACUCAACCGCCAUGAAGUGUCACGUAGGGGCUGCAUCAUUGGAGCCAACCGGAGGUCAUCGGCUGGUCGCUGACACUGUGACAAAAACAGGAACACGCCUUUCUUCAUUGGCGGAACCUUUCGGUUGUGGUAACUGUUGUUCACCAGACUGCCCGGUUGCCUGUUUUGCACGUCACUGCAUCUACAGGAAGUUUCAAACCAAAUCGGACCAGACACUGUCGGCCUGUCAAGUGAAUAUUUAGCCAUCGGCGCUCACGAAGAACUAUUUCCGUAGCCUGUAGAUUUCGCUGCAUCGGUUCAGGGUUAAAAAUCAAGUCAGGUUUAGGUUGGAGUUAGUCUCAGGCCCUCAAACCAACGCAGUCUAUAGAGAUUCAGCACGGAUUAACAAUCUGUCCUGUACCAACCAACAUUUUAGUCAACUGGCACUCAAGAGUGGAGCGCCACGGUGGUGUGGCGGUUCGCAAUGAUGCCUCACAGCAAAAGGUUCUGGGCUCGAACCCGCCCAGCGGCUGUGUGGGGUCUGCGUGUUCUCCCCCGAGCCUGCGUGGGUUCCCUCCCACGCUCCAAGACAGCAGGAUGGUUCUAAGUCCGCAGUGCAAUUGAGUGAUGACCGUUCCAGGAUUUACCCCGUCUCUUGCCUGAUGCCAGCUGGGAUUGGCUCCAAAACUCCCCCGCAAAGUUGAAAAGCUGUGUAAAAGAAAUGAGCUGGCUACACGAUGACUGGUAAUCUGAUCCCUCCUGUGUGUGUGUGUGUCCCGUAGGAGUGAGAGAGAGAGAGAGAGAGACCCACACACACACACACACACACACACAUACUCAGAGAGUGGGUGGGAGAGAGAGGCGGGCCCCGCACACCAGACACAAGACCAGAAACUUUCCACGGCAAACACUCACCUGACCGCUUUGAUUAUGCGCCCCCGUGGAAGCGCCGAGACGACGCCCCCGUUGCCCGAGGUUCACGCGCCACCGGUUUCCCUUCCGCGCCGCGCGCAUUCAUACCAGU
ensembl:lncRNA